GACGAACGCUGGCGGCGUGCUUAACACAUGCAAGUCGAACGGAAAGGCCCUGCUUUUGUGGGGUGCUCGAGUGGCGAACGGGUGAGUAACACGUGAGUAACCUGCCCUUGACUUUGGGAUAACUUCAGGAAACUGGGGCUAAUACCGGAUAGGAGCUCCUGCUGCAUGGUGGGGGUUGGAAAGUUUCGGCGGUUGGGGAUGGACUCGCGGCUUAUCAGCUUGUUGGUGGGGUAGUGGCUUACCAAGGCUUUGACGGGUAGCCGGCCUGAGAGGGUGACCGGCCACAUUGGGACUGAGAUACGGCCCAGACUCGUACGGGAGGCAGCAGUGGGAAAUAUUGCACAAUGGGCGGAAGCCUGAUGCAGCAACGCCGCGUGCGGGAUGACGGCCUUCGGGUUGUAAACCGCUUUCGCCUGUGACGAAGCGUGAGUGACGGUAAUGGGUAAAGAAGCACCGGCUAACUACGUG
rnacentral:rRNA from 1 species